GACGGCCGCUUCCGCCCUCCUACUGCCAAACGGCGAUUUCCAAAUCCACACUCUCUGCGUACACAUCCCUGUUGCUUCCCCGGGGAGGGUCCCCGGGGGAGGUCCGCGAGCAAACGAUGCCGCCCAACCCACCAGCCGCGCAACCCGUCUGAAGGCCAGCGAGCCACGGAUUGAGGAACGAGCGAGCAAACGAGAAUGAGAAGAAAAAACUUUCAACAACGGAUCUCUUGGUUCCCGCAUCGAUGAAGAACGCAGCGAAAUGCGAUAAGUAAUGUGAAUUGCAGAAUUCAGUGAAUCAUCGAAUCUUUGAACGCACAUUGCGCCCCCUGGCAUUCCGGGGGGCAUGCCUGUUCGAGCGUCUCUUGACGAAAACUCGCGCCAGUGACGGGCGCGGUCUUGGCAGGCGGAGGCGAGCCCGGAGGGGCGGCCACCGCGCUGGAAUGCAUGGGCGGAAGCCAGCCCCGUGGCCGAGCGUGAUGUGACACAGUUGUCGCUCGUGCGCGGCGAGGCUUCCAGCCAUUGCCCGUUUGUCG
rnacentral:rRNA from 1 species